UAUUUCUAUAAUUAGUUCGUUUCUCUUCUAUUUUUCUAUCUCCCAUUUAUCUAUUUUCUUUAGUUACUUACUAGAGCAAUUAUGAUCUAGAAGUCAAUCCAUGGCAAUUGUUCGGAUCUAUUAUGACACAGCCUUGAGGCGCUCAACGGAUCUUUUAACCUUCUAAAAACCUUUUUGGGCUUUGGAUUGAUCCAAAAACGACUUUUUUGUGCAAGUUCGGAUCUAUUAUGACAUAGCCUUGAGGCGCUCAACGGACCUUUUAACCUUCUAAAAACCUUUUUGGGCUUUGGAUUGAUCCAAAAUCGACUUUUUUGUGCAACCUAGUGUAUAUUCAUAGAAGUUAUUAGAUGGAGCACUUCAAUUUUUUACCUAGAAGAUUUUAAUUACUCUAUUCCAAAUCACGUGAGUAGCCAUUAGAUAUUA
rnacentral:lncRNA from 1 species